GACGAACGCUGGCGGCGUGCUUAACACAUGCAAGUCGAACGGAAAGGCCCUGCUUUUGUGGGGUGCUCGAGUGGCGAACGGGUGAGUAACACGUGAGUAACCUGCCCUUGACUUUGGGAUAACUUCAGGAAACUGGGGCUAAUACCGGAUAGGAGCUCCUGCUGCAUGGUGGGGGUUGGAAAGUUUCGGCGGUUGGGGAUGGACUCGCGGCUUAUCAGCUUGUUGGUGGGGUAGUGGCUUACCAAGGCUUUGGCGGGUAGCCGGCCUGAGAGGGUGACCGGGCACAUUGGGACUGAGAUACGGCCCAGACUCCUACGGGAGGCAGCAGUGGGGAAUAUUGCACAAUGGGCGGAAGCCAGAUGCAGCAACGCCGCGUGCGGGAUGACGGCCUUCGGGUUGUAAACCGCUUUCGCCUGUGACGAAGCGUGAGUGACGGUAAUGGGUAAAGAAGCACCGGCUAACUACGUG
rnacentral:rRNA from 1 species